rnacentral:rRNA from 1 species
UGGGGAAUAUUGCACAAUGGGCGCAAGCCUGAUGCAGCCAUGCCGCGUGUGUGAAGAAGGCCUUCGGGUUAUAAAGCACUUUCAGCGGGGAGGAAGGCGAUAAGGUUAAUAACCUUGUCGAUUGACGUUACCCGCAGAAGAAGCACCGGCUAACUCCGUGCCAGCAGCCGCGGUAAUACGGAGGGUGCAAGCGUUAAUCGGAAUUACUGGGCGUAAAGCGCACGCAGGCGGUCUGUCAAGUCGGAUGUGAAAUCCCCGGGCUCAACCUGGGAACUGCAUUCGAAACUGGCAGGCUAGAGUCUUGUAGAGGGGGGGAGAAUUCCAGGUGUAGCGGUGAAAUGCGUAGAGAUCUGGAGGAAUACCGGUGGCGAAGGCGGCCCCCUGGACAAAGACUGACGCUCAGGUGCGAAAGCGUGGGGAGCAAACAGG